GGUAGGGAAUGGAAGGUUAACUUCACUUCCUGCUCUGUAGUCCCACGAACCAUGAAACAUGCACUAUCCUGGAAGGAAAUCAGACUGCCAUCUGAAUAUACCAGGCAGGAGAUGAUAGAAGGGCAGUCCAGAGUGGCACACCAAAGUAUUUCUGAUGCCAGAACUUCACCAUCAGAGACAGCAGUCCUCUUCCCUGGCCUGGACAAGAUCCCCAAGGUACAUAUCAGAAAUGAAGGCUGUCCUCAAGCUGCCACAAAACUGGAAGUGGAGAAUGAUACAAGAGUAAGUCAAAUCACCACAAACCUCUCUUAUCAACAGUCAGCUAUUUUCCUUGAUUUAGAGUUUUUCUCAUUAUUGUAAGCUUUUGAU
rnacentral:lncRNA from 1 species